UACGCAGGGGGUAAGCGUUGUCCGGAUUCAUUGGGCGUAAAGAGCGUGUAGGCGGCCAGGUAGGUCGGUUGUGAAAACUGGAGGCUCAACCUUCAGAGGUCGACCGAAACCAUCUGGCUAGAGUCCGGGAGAGGAGAGUGGAAUUCCUGGUGUAGCGGUGAAGUGCGCAGAUAUCAGGAAGAACACCCGUGGCGAAAGCGGCUCUCUGGAACGGUACUGACGCUGAGACGCGAAAGCGUGGGGAGCGAACAGG
rnacentral:rRNA from 1 species